UACGUAGGCAGCGAGCGUUGUUCGGAGUUACUGGGCGUAAAGGGUGUGUAGGCGGUUGUUUAAGUUUGGUGUGAAAUCUCCCGGCUCAACUGGGAGGGUGCGCCGAAUACUGAGCGACUAGAGUGCGGGAGAGGAAAGUGGAAUUCCUGGUGUAGCGGUGAAAUGCGUAGAUACCAGGAGGAACACCGAUGGCGAAGGCAGCUCGCUGGGACGGUACUGACGCUGAGGCGCGAAAGGCGUGGGGAGCAACCAGG
rnacentral:rRNA from 1 species